CCUACGGGAGGCAGCAGUGAGGAAUAUUGCACAAUGGGGGAAACCCUGAUGCAGCGACGCCGCGUGGGUGAUGAAGGUCUUCGGAUCGUAAAACCCUUUUCUAGGUGACGAGAGAGGACGGUAGCCUAGGAAUAAGCCUCGGCUAACUACGUGCCAGCAGCCGCGGUAAAACGUAGGAGGCGAGCGUUAUCCGGAGUUACUGGGCGUAGAGCGUAUGUAGGCGGUAGGGCAAGUUGCGUGUGAAAGCUCCCGGCUAAACUGGGAGAGGACACGUAAGACUGCUCGGCUAGAGGGUGGUAGAGGGGCGUGGAAUUCCGGGUGUAGCGGUGAAAUGUGUAGAGAUCCGGAGGAACACCAGUGGCGCAAGCGACGCCCUGGGCCAUACCUGACGCUGAGAUACGAAAGCGUGGGGAGCGAACGGGAUUAGAGACCCCGGUAGUCCACGCCGUAAACGAUGCUUGCUAGGUGUUCACUCGCAAGAGGGCGUGCCGAAGCUAACGCGAUAAGCAAGCCGCCUGGGGAGUACGGUCGCAAGGCUAAAACUCAAAGGAAUUGACGGGAGCCCGCACAAGCAGCGGAGCGUGUGGUUUAAUUCGAGGCUACACGAAGAACCUUACCUGGGCUUGACAUACAUGUGGUAGGGAACCGAAAGGGGACCGACCUUCGGGAGCAUGUACAGGUGCUGCAUGGCUGUCGUCGGCUCGUGUCGUGAGAUGUUCGGUUAAGUCCGAAAACGAGCGCAACCCUCGGAAGUAGUUACAAGUGUCUACUUCGACUGCCCGUGAGAAACGGGAGGAAGUGGGGAUGACGUCAAGUCAGCAUGGGCCUUUAUGUCCAGGGCUACACACACGCUACAUGGCCAGUACAAUGGGAAGCAGACCGCGAGGUGAGCCAUCCUGAAAGCUGGUCGUAGUUCGGAUUGCAGCUGCACUCGCCUGCAUGAGCCGAGUGCUAGUACCGCGCGUCAGCAUAGCGCGGUGA
rnacentral:rRNA from 1 species